rnacentral:rRNA from 1 species
AGGACGAACGCUGGCGGCGUGCCUAACACAUGCAAGUCGAACGAGGUUCAUUCAGUAGCAAUACUGGAGAAGACCAAGUGGCGAACGGGUGAGUAGCACGUGAGCAACCUACCCCGAAGACCGGGACAACACCGGGAAACCGGUGCUAAUACUGGAUAUCCCCAUCGAAUCGCAUGGUUUGGUGAGGAAAUGGAUUCCGCUUCGGGAGGGGCUCGCGGCCUAUCAGCUAGUUGGUGAGGUAACGGCUCACCAAGGCGUCGACGGGUAGCUGGUCUGAGAGGACGAUCAGCCACACUGGGACUGAGACACGGCCCAGACUCCUACGGGAGGCAGCAGUGGGGAAUCUUGCACAAUGGGCGAAAGCCUGAUGCAGCAACGCCGCGUGAGGGACGAAGGCUUUCUGAGUUGUAAACCUCUUUCAGCAGGGACGAUUAUGACGGUACCUGCAGAAGAAGCACCGGCCAACUACGUGCCAGCACGCCGCGGUAA